GACCCUAUACUCUCACAAACACUCUCAUCUUUUUUUUUUUUUUUUUUUGAAAACUCUCUCAAGUUUUCUCUCCAUCUUCAACCUCAAGAACACUAAGGUUGGAAGCAUUAAGCUUUAGUCUAUGAAGGGUUUUUCCCUAAGGUUUGGAAAGGGUCUUGAAGGAGCCAAAGCUAAUAGGAAGAUCCAAACCUUAAGCAAGAACAACAAGAGAUGGUUAAAACUACCAAUGAAAGUGGAAAAUUACGGUGAGCAAUUAACGCAGAAGAAAUGGAAGUAGAAGGCAAGGAGACCAAAUAUGUACCUUGGCUGCUUGAAUUUCAAGAUCAUCAACUACUAUCUGAGUU